rnacentral:rRNA from 1 species
UACGUAGGCAGCAAGCGUUGUUCGGAAUUACUGGGCGUAAAGAGUGUGUAGGCGGUGCUCCAAGUCUGGUGUGAAAUCUCCCGGCUUAACUGGGAGGGUGCAUUAGAAACUGGAAUGCUAGAGGAUGGGAAAGGUAAGCGGAAUUCCUGGUGUAGCGGUGAAAUGCGUAGAUAUCAGGAGGAACACCUGUGGUGUAGACAGCUUACUGGACCAUUUCUGACGCUGGGACACGAAAGCGUGGGUAGCAAACAGG